rnacentral:misc_RNA from 1 species
CUUUCAGAGAUUGAAAAGCUUAUGAAGAAACUUUCUCAUUUCUCCUUAAUUCUACUUUUUUGUUCCUUUAUAAACCCUAGCCGUGGAAGCUCUGACUGAAAACGCUAGGAAGAAGCUCCAAUUUCCACACCUUUCACAAUCCCACCACUACCCAACCCACAUGGACGCCGUCAAUAUUUCCUCAUCAGUCAGACUCUUCUCUGAGAUCCUAACUCACACCGACCCUAAGGAUAUCGAGUCUGCACUCUCCUCAACUGGAAUUCCUCCUGCCCCUGAUCUUGUUCAUCAAGUCCUCAAGCUCAAUUACAGCAAUCCCUCUUCUUCUGUGGUGUUUUUCCGGUGGGUGGGCCGGGCACAUAAGCCUACCCCUUAUGCGUGGAACCUGAUGGUGGAUUUGCUUGGCAGGAAUCAGCUUUUCGAUUGCAUGUGGGAUGCCAUUCGUUCUAUGAAGCAAGAAAAUGUAUUGUCAAUGGCGACUUUUGCUUCUGUUUUUGGGAGUUAUUGUGCAGCUGGUAGGUUUAAUGAAGCUAUAAUGAGCUUUGAAGUUAUGGAUAAGUAUGGUAUUCAGCAAGAUGUUGUUGCUGUGAAUUCGCUUUUGAGCGCUAUGUGUAGGGAGGAUAAUCAGACUAUAAGGGCAUUGGAGUUUUUUGAAAGGAUAAAAUCUAAGAUACCCCCAGAUGGUGAUACAUUUGCUAUUUUGUUGGAAGGGUGGGAGAAGGAAGGCAACCCUGCAAAAGCAAGGAUUACAUUUGACGAGAUGGUUGUUCGCAUUGGAUGGAGCCCAUCAAACGUACCUGCAUAUGAUGCGUUUUUGACCACACUUGUUCAAGCCUCGCAAAUAGAUGAGGCUCUCAAGUUCCUCAAUGUUAUGAAGGGGAAGGCUUGCAUCCCAGGUUUGAAAUUUUUCUCUAAUACUCUUGAUAUGCUUUGUAAGCAGAAUGAUUAUGUGAAUUCUGUCCCAUUGUGGGAUACAAUGCUGGACAGUGGGGUAGUGCCUAAUUUGAUUAUGUACAAUAGGAUGAUUAGCUUGCUUUGCAACAAGAGUGACAUUGACAAUGCAUUUCGGUUGCUUGAUGAGAUGGUCUUCAAUGGAGCUUUUCCAGAUAUUUUAACUUAUAAUAUGAUUUUUCAUCGUCUGAUAAAAGAUAAAAAGGUUUCCCAAGUAGGCAAGUUCUUCUGUGAGAUGAUCAAGAAUGAAAUGCCCCCCACUUAUCAUGAUUGCGCUGUAGCCAUCACAGUGUUGAUGGAUGGUGAUGAUCCUGAAAUGGCAAUUGAGAUAUGGAACUACAUGGUUGAGAACCAUGUUUUGCCCCUUGAGCUUGAUGAGAGCGCAAACAUGCUUCUCAUAGGCCUUUGUAAUUUGGGUAGGUUAUCGGAGGUGAGGAGGUUUGCAGAAGAUAUGCUUGAUAGAAAAAUUAAAAUAUAUGAAUCAACUAUGUCAAAGUUGAAGACUACCUUUUAUAAGGAGGGUACCAGUGCAAGGGACAGAUUUGAUAGCCUCUCAAGGAGAUGGAGACCUUCCUAGAUAUGAUUCUGUAAAUUCCUUUUUGAUCCAUCUAGUGAAGCUUUCAUUGUGGUAUAUCUGUUACAGUCAUUAAUGGAAAAGCUUUGUUGUGAGCAUAAUCUUCCAUGUCCUAUUUCCUUUGCCUUGUCCUCUUCUAGUAAUAUGAUCAAUGCUCUCUUUUUCUCUCAUUGAUAUCCUGGAAUUUUGGUAACUUUCCAACCAUAGUAAUUGGUCCCCUCUUACUCCUUCCUUCUAGCCUCUCUCUGAUAUGCACAUGCAAAUGGCUUUUUAGUUUUAAUUGCAUGUUUUAUUUUCCCUUCAUGCAUAUUAUUCCAUUUCUUUUUAAUAUAUGUUAGUUAAAUGUUUUGGAAGCUUUUUGGCUGGUGUUAUCAAGGCGAGAGGAGAUACUAAGGCAAUAAGGUACCCUAUGGCCUUAGACGAGAGGUGAGGUGAGGGCCUUUUUGAAGAAGGCACCAUAGCCUAAAUUGUCUAAAUUAUGCAUAUAUAUGUAUAACACCUUGCACAAAUGUAUUCAGAUUUCAAUAGUUGCCUAGUCUUUCUUACUCUUUUACAGCAAAACAACACCUUACACAAAUGUAUUCAAAUUUCAAUAGUUAUUAAUUUCCUCAAUAGCUAUUAGCCUACAAUGACACAUAAAAUACAUGUGUUAUCCACCAUAAAUUUGCAAGGAGCGCCUCAAUGUCAAUUUUAAUUUCUAAUCACUAGUAAAACUGCAUACGGAUAUUAAACAAUAGCCAUAUAACAAAAAAUUAAACAACAAAUUAACAAAAAAAAUAUCUAACAAAACAAUUAAAUUCAAAAUUAAACAAUACCCAUGUGACCAAAAAAAAAAAAAAGCAAUACCCAUAUAACAAUAAUAAAAUUAACAAUGACAUCCGUAUAACAAUAAAUUAACAAGAAACAUUUCAUAUCUAAAAAAACAAUUAAAAUAAAAAAUAAAAAUAAAUAAAACAAUAUGACCAGCAGAGUAAAAAAGAAGAGAGAAGAGUAGAGAUUCUGUUUUGAAGAAGAAGACCAGAGAAAAGAAGAAAACAAAGAAAAACAAAGGUUCUAUUUUGAACUACAGCAGAGUAUAAGAGGAGAAGAGAAUGAGACUUUGUUGUGUUGAAACUUGAAAGAAGAAAAACAUAGAAGAAGAGGAGAAGAAAUAGAGGAAAGAAGGAGUAGAGGAGAGAGAGAGGGAAAGAUGAGACAUACCCAUAGUCCCAUACAACAGAAUUCAUUAAAAAGAGGAGGAGAGAAAAAGAAGAAAAAAAUGUAAAAAAAAGGAGUGUGCAAAGAUACUGUUGUAUUUUAGAGAAGAACAAAAUAGAGGAGAAGAAAGAGGAAAGAAGAAGGAGAAGAGGAGAGAGAGAGAGGAAGGAUGAGC